GGGGCCACAGCACCUGCUCCCCCCUCUUCUCAUCCCUUCAGGAGAUGAAGAAAUGGCCCUCAAUGUUUCCCCUCAGUGUACUCUGCAAAUCCUCCUUGAAAGCAUGGGCAUAAUCCCAUUUGCCAGCCAGAUCCACUUUGGGCUGCUUAAAGUGGCUGUAAAAGCAUCUUGCCUGGGGCCAAGUGCCCCUUCCACACUUGCUUUAGCUGUGGAAAAAAGAAGGGAAAGCUGUUUUUUGUGUGGGCCUCCCUCCCAGUG